rnacentral:rRNA from 1 species
UAUGGUUGUGCCAGCAGCCGCGGUAAAACGUAGGGUGCAAGCGUUGUCCGGAAUUACUGGGUGUAAAGGGAGCGCAGGCGGACCGGCAAGUUGGAAGUGAAAACUAUGGGCUCAACCCAUAAAUUGCUUUCAAAACUGCUGGCCUUGAGUAGUGCAGAGGUAGGUGGAAUUCCCGGUGUAGCGGUGGAAUGCGUAGAUAUCGGGAGGAACACCAGUGGCGAAGGCGACCUACUGGGCACCAACUGACGCUGAGGCUCGAAAGCAUGGGUAGCAAACAGG